rnacentral:lncRNA from 1 species
AUUCUGACACCGGCACUCUGGCCUCGCUCAUUGUCAGCUCUUCAGAGCUUUUCCUGGGCUACUUCUUAGCGGCUCUGUUUUCUGGGAACCCUUCUGGUAGACAAUGGGGAAACAGAGAGGAACGGAUCCAGUCUACUUCUGGCGCUGAGAAAAGCCUUCCCCUGGCUUCACUCUCCCAGAAAAACCUAUGAAGCUGAUCAGAGAAGCAAGAUGAUCGACUCACCUGUGUGAACGGUCGAUUUCUGAGUUCCUACAUUUCUGCUGAACAUUAUAACAGGAGGACAGGAACUCCACUCAGAACCUAGAGGCUUCCCAGGUCUGCUUCCCUUCCUUACAACUCCCUCCCUCAAGAAGAAGGAAGAGGAGGAGGAGGAGGAGGUGGAAGAAGAGGAGGAGGAGGAGAAAAAGGAGGAGAAAAAGAAGGAGAAGGAGGAGGAAGAGGAGAAGGAGAAGAGAAAAAGGAGGAGAAGGAGAAGGAGAAGGAGAAGGAGAAGGAGAAGGAGAAGGAGAAGGAGAAGGAGAAGGAAGGAGAAACAAACCCAGUAUGACAAGUUUUAAGCGUUCUCUUCAUGUUUCUCUAGCUAGGUGAAUCACCAAUUGUAUCUGACUGCCAAGGUUGAACGGAUGAACUUGGAUCAUGACAAGAUUCUGAGGACAAUGUAUGGGCCAAAGAUACAAAUGGAUGCCAUGGAGGAACUGAAGAGAGCUCGAGACAUUGGAAGACGCAUUAUAAAUGCCUCAGACAGAAGGUGAAGAACAGAGACCAGAAACGAUCCUAACUGGACAUGGAUCCUCAGACUUAGACUAAGUUUUAAGACAGUAGAUAAAGUUUGGCUACACUGUGGUUGUGACUCUUUCCUU